AACUCGCUGUGAAGAUGCAGUGUACCCGCGGCAAGACGGAAAGACCCCGUGAACCUUUACUAUAGCUUGACACUGAACAUUGAGCCUUGAUGUGUAGGAUAGGUGGGAGGCUUUGAAGCGUGGACGCCAGUCUGCGUGGAGCCGACCUUGAAAUACCACCCUUUAAUGUUUGAUGUUCUAACGUGGAUCCGUAAUCCGGGUUGCGGACAGUGUCUGGUGGGUAGUUUGACUGGGGCGGUCUCCUCCUAAAGAGUAACGGAGGAGCACGAAGGUUGGCUAAUCCUGGUCGGACAUCAGGAGGUUAGUGCAAUGGCAUAAGCCAGCUUGACUGCGAGCGUGACGGCGCGAGCAGGUGCGAAAGCAGGUCAUAGUGAUCCGGUGGUUCUGAAUGGAAGGGCCAUCGCUCAACGGAUAAAAGGUACUCCGGGGAUAACAGGCUGAUACCGCCCAAGAGUUCAUAUCGACGGCGGUGUUUGGCACCUCGAUGUCGGCUCAUCACAUCCUGGGGCUGAAGUAGGUCCCAAGGGUAUGGCUGUUCGCCAUUUAAAGUGGUACGCGAGCUGGGUUUAGAACGUCGUGAGACAGUUCGGUCCCUAUCUGCCGUGGGCGCUGGAGAACUGAGGGGGGCUGCUCCUAGUACGAGAGGACCGGAGUGGACGCAUCACUGGUGUUCGGGUUGUCAUGCCAAUGGCACUGCCCGGUAGCUAAAUGCGGAAGAGAUAAGUGCUGAAAGCAUCUAAGCACGAAACUUGCCCCGAGAUGAGUUCUCCCUGAGACUUAGAGUCUCCUGAAGGAACGUUGAAGACGACGACGUUGAUAGGCCGGGUGUGUAAGCGCAGCGAUGCGUUGAGCUAACCGGUACUAAUGAACCGUGAGGCUUAACCUUACAACGCCGAAG
rnacentral:rRNA from 2 species